UAUUAAGGCAUUGAUUGUUCCAAAGGUGUAUUACUGGUUGCUUAGAUUUCACAAAUGAUUUUUUCGAUUAAUUUGCUAAACAAAGUUAAAUUAUUGCUUCCGUAUACUUCAAAGAGAAGUGUUCAGCUUCAAAUAAUAUUAAAACAAAACAAGAAGUAAGUGCUACUUCUGAGGGGGUUACGAAUAUCCUGCAGAAGGCCUAAAAAUGACCAGAUACUUGUCUCUGGAUUGAAGAUAAUCGACCAGAAUUAUAUACUACCUAAUUCAAGAUCUAUGUGGAAUGAUUAAUUGAAAACAAUACAGAUAUUCAUAGUAAUGUGAUUAAAUGCUUGCCUAGUUUGUAAGAUAUCAUUGAGCUGGAAGGACUGGUGCAAAACCACUGUCUGUAGGGCAAAACCAAAAGUUUGAUCAAUAAUAACAGUGAUUUAAGUUGUUAAAAAAAACACAAGGCAUUAACUCAUCAGAAAAUAACAGGUAUUCAAAUAAAGAUUAUUAAUAUUCAUUAAGACACUAAUAAAAAAUUGACAUAAAUAUCCCCUCUACUGUUUAUAUUCUCAAAUAUUGUCAGUUUUUAGGCUACAAGUUAGAUUAUUUCAAUUUUAUACCUGCUGACCUCUUAUAAAAUAAAUAAUACAACAAUAAUCCUUCAAAACUUUUUACUUUCAUUAAAGUCAGCCUUAACAUUAUACGAAAUAGGUAGGUAUUAAUUUUUUUACAUACACAUGCAUACAACUUUUGGAAUAGACAUAUGUUAGUGCAAAGUGUUCUUUUAUAUUCCGUUAAAAUAAUAACUUUAAACUUUCAACUUUUGUUUCUUCUUCAAAACGAGGAAAUCCUGGAAAACCUAUCACAGCAAA